rnacentral:lncRNA from 1 species
AACACUGCUACAGUAAAACUUGGGCUGAAAUGUAUUACAGACAACGGAGACCGAUUAGCUUAAUUUGUGAAAAUAUAAGGAUAUAUGGUGCAUAAAACAAAUCCUACGCAUAUAUAAUACAUUUACAUGCUAAGCAAUUGAUAUUUGCCUAAAUCACAAGUUCAAAACACCAUGCCAUCGCAGCUCCAAAACCAAAAGACUAGCCUUCUUCGAACUUGAACUUGAACUUGAACAUACCCAGGUGGACAUUUGAUAUGGUAUCUCGAACAAGAAUGCAGGUAGCCGAAGAAGAGAUUACAUGAUGGUUGCAAAACCAAAAGCCAAGGGGGAGAGACCAACGAGAGGAGGGAAGACACCAACGGGAGGAUUUUCAUACCUGAAACUGUGGAAUGCGGGUGUCCAAGGGCUCAAGAGAAACCCAAAAUGAGUGAGAAUGAAGGAGACAAGGGUGGUGAUGGGUGCCAUAUAUGAUAUAGAGAGUAUGAUAUAUUGAGUAGAUAUCUCAGUUGCUGAAAUGGGGUUUU